rnacentral:misc_RNA from 1 species
UAAUCUCACUACAACUCCUUUUGUUGUAUGUGGACUUGGAUGUUGCCGUGGAACAAAACGGCUCGUCUGAAAUGCCUGAGUGUACCCUGCUUUGCGGCGUAUUCGGCGUGAUAAAUCUUCACCGAAGUUGAUCCUUUUGGGAUCGCGUCUGCUUAACUAUGGCUCUAUGCUUCCAACCGUCCUUGACAAGGACAGAACACCUCUGACA